rnacentral:rRNA from 1 species
GACGGAAGGUGCAAGCGUUGCUCGGAAUCACUGGGCGUAAAGGGUGCGUAGGCGGCUUGGUAAGUUGGGUGUGAAAGCCCCGGGCUCAGCCCGGGAAGGGCACUCGAAACUGCCGAGCUGGAGUGCCGGAGGGGAGAGUGGAAUUCCUGGUGUAGCGGUGAAAUGCGUAGAUAUCAGGAGGAAUACCGGUGGCGAAAGCGACUCCCUGGACGGCAACUGACGCUGAGGCACGAAAGCGUGGGGAGCAAACAGG